AAGUUUUAGGACUGGGAAGGGUUUUAGGCUGGACUGGGAGUGGUUUUAGGCAGGAUUUGGGAGCUUUUAGAACUGGUGAAGUUUUUAGAGCUGGUGAAUCCUUUAGGCUGGACUGGGGGCUUUUAGGCCUGGGAGUGCUUUUAGGCAGGAUUUAGGAGCUUUUAGGACUGCUGAAGCUUUUAGGCUGGACUGGGGGGCUUUUAGGAUUGACUUUUAGGCCUGGGAGAGCUGUUAGGCAGGAUUUAGGAGCUUUUAGGAUUUCUGAAGCUUUUAGGCUGGACUUUUAGGCCUGGGGGUGGUUUUAGACAGGAUUUAGGAGUUUUUAGGAUUGCUGAAGCGUUUAGGCUGGACUUUUAGGCCUGGGGGUGGUUUUAAUGAUUUAGGAGCUUUUAGGAUUUCUGAAGCUUUUAGGCUGGACUGGGGGGCCUUUAGGCCGGACUGAGGGACUUUUUGGCCUGGGAGUGAUUUUAGGCAAGAUUUAGGAGGUUUUAGGAUUUCUGAAGCUUUUAGGCUGGACUUUUAGGCCUGGGGGUGGUUUUAGGCAGGAUUUGGGAGCUUUUAGGAUUGCUGAAGCUUUUAGGCUGGACUUUUAGGCUUGGGAGUGGUUUUAGGCAGGAUUUAGGAGCUUUUAGGAUUUCUGAAGCUUUUAGGCAGGACUGGGGGGCCUUUAGGCCGGACUGAGGGACUUCUAGGCCUGUGAGUGGCUCUUAGGCUGGACCAAGCAGUGGCCAAGCUCUUGCUGCCCUGCACAGGGAGGGAAAGCUCCUGGUCCUACUGAUUAGGACUGGGAUGGGCUUGGCUUUCCCCCCCUCUGGGCCGUACUGGGAGCACUGGGAUGGUUCCACCGUUCCCAAGCCUGUGGAUCUCGGCGACCCUCGGCAUUCCCUGGUUUCUCUUUCCCUGUUUUUCUGCUCGUUGAGUUCAUUAAACCUGGGGUUUUUUCCCUC